UUAGUCUGAGAGGAUGACCAGCCACACUGGAACUGAUACACGGUCCAGACUCCUACGGGAGGCAGCAGUUGGGAAUAUUGGACAAUGGGGGCAACCCUGAUCCAGCAAUGCCGCGUGUGUGAAGAAGGCCUGAGGGUUGUAAAGCACUUUCAGUGGGGAGGAGGGUUGAUAGGUUAAGAGCUGAUUAACUGGACGUUACCCACAGAAGAAGCACCGGCUAACUCCGUGCCAGCAGCCGCGGUAAUACGGAGGGUGCGAGCGUUAAUCGGAAUUACUGGGCGUAAAGGGUGCGUAGGUGGUUGAUUAUANUUAUC
rnacentral:rRNA from 1 species